rfam:Agrobacterium albertimagni AOL15 Contig_1, whole genome shotgun sequence.
AGUCAAGAGUCUUUGGCACCGUUUUUGGUGAGCAGUUUUCUGUUGCCUUCAAGAAGGUGAAGAAAAAUG